rnacentral:rRNA from 1 species
AAUCAUGGCUCAGGAUGAACGCUGGCGGCGUGCUUAACACAUGCAAGUCGAACGAUGAACCUCACUUGUGGGGGGAUUAGUGGCGAACGGGUGAGUAACACGUGAGUAACCUGCCCUUGACUCUGGGAUAAGCCUGGGAAACCGGGUCUAAUACUGGAUACGACCUUCUGGCGCAUGCCAUGUUGGUGGAAAGCUUUUGUGGUUUUGGAUGGACUCGCGGCCUAUCAGCUUGUUGGUGGGGUAAUGGCCU